rnacentral:misc_RNA from 1 species
UGGAGCAAUUUGGAAACUCUAGUAGAAAACUCUUCACGUUGUGCUCUUCACACACAUCUGGAAGACUUACCAUAGAAGUACAAUUUCCCGAAUACAUACCUUGAAUUUUUAAUGGAAGAUCUGGCAAUGACUGCGGCCUCUUGCAACUAGACAGCUCAAGACACUCAAGUCGAGAAAGGUGACAGAUGCUUGAAGGCAAGCUUACAAAAUCAUUUCCAUUUAGAUUUAGAUGUUCCAAUGAGGGGAAGCCACUAAUGUCCCUGGGAAUUGCUCCUUCUGGUAAUUUACAGUAACUUUAAGUUCUCUCAAAAAGGGUAAAAGUUG